rnacentral:lncRNA from 1 species
UUUAAGGUUGUGCUCCUUGGCUGGAUGGCUGACUUUUUAAGCCAGGCCACUCCUUUAUUCUCUGUAGGUCCUCAGGUGUUUGAGGGGAUUCCCUGGAACAGCCUCUUCCAUUACCUUCCCUAAUUCUGUUCUCUACCUCCUUUAGCUUUUAUGUCAUUCUUCAACUCCAAACUCUUAUGUGACUCCUUCACUUGUUCCUAGUGCCGGCCCCCCAAAGCUUAGUAAAGGUACAUGAGCUCCAUGAUUUGGGGCAUGAGACUUUCUCUUACAAACUAUGGCUAGACCCUUAGCUGGGGCAGGACUCCACAAUCCAAACUCAGCCUAGACCCACUAGCCAGAGGCCAGCCAGCCCAGCCCUUGGCAGACUUCCCUCUUUUCUUUUCCCUCCAAGGUAGAAAUGGAUGUAGGCCAUCUCUGAGAGGACUUGAAACUAUAUUAAACACUUAGGAACCCUAUCUGUGGAUUGGAAUGCCAUGAAUAUAUGUGCUCUGGGAAGAUUGAGAUUUAAACAAGACAUGAGGCCCUUCUAUUUAAAAAUCUCUCUUUAGCACAAUUAAGAUUAUAUUAUUAUCUUUUAUAGAAAUUAAUUUGAUAUCUGAUUGCUGCCACAAAGCCUUAUAACAGUCGUACAAUUAGAAAAUUGAAAGCUCUUCUACACAUAUUUCAUGUAAUCUUCCUUCAACCUCUGGGAAGAAGGUAUUCUUUUUGCAAUUUACACAUAAGAAACUGAUACUGGAGAUUGGGGGUAAUAAUUCCCACCCAACCUGAGUUUACCAGCUUAACAACUCUAUCACAUGCUGCCUCAUUAUUUUGGAUUGAAAUUCUGAUCUAAUAUUACUAAUAAAACAUAAAAAUGAAAAAACACACCUCCCUGGUAAUAUAAAUCCAGGCAUUAUCUCUUAGGGGAAGAUGUGUGGCAAGUUUUGUCUUUAGAAUGAGAAAACCCACCUUUAUGGAGAACAUACCUCAGCUUCAGGAAGAUGCAAUGUUCUAAGUCACUUUCAAAUGUUGCUUCUUAAUUAUGUUUCAUUCUAGAGGAGCAAACACAGAGCACAUCAUCUCAUAUGAAAGCUAUUGUUUUGGUGAACUAGCUCUACAAAAGGCAUUGGGUAUCCGACAUUGUGCAGUAGCUAAUAUCUGCCUACAUAAGCAAGUUUCAGGCAGUUUGUAAACUGACUGGAGCAGAGGCUGCUAAUUGUCUGCCUCAAGUCCAUUUCCUAUCUUAUUCUUUUGAAAUGAAUACUUACUAUUCUGGUACUUAAUUUUCUAGCCAUUCCUGAAAAAAGACUACAUUUUCUAGUUGCCGUUAUGGUCAUGUGACUAAGUUCUGGCCAAUGAAAUGCAAAUGGAAAUGUUAUGGGCAACUUCCAAAAGCAUCAGGUGGUAAGCCUGUGUGUCUUGCUUUGGGUCUUCUUCCAUAAUGCACGGUAAGAUAUUGAUGGCAUAACCACGUUGGAUUAGGAAAAAAAGCAAGAUAAAAAAGACACGGGUCUUUGAAUGGUUUGUAUGUAAUUAUCCUCCAGAUUCCUCUAUAUGAGUAAAAGUUUAACCUACACCUUUCUCAAUCUCUAUUAUCUGGGGAGUAUUUAUUUAUUCAUUUGCUUACUUACUUUUUUAACAUCCAAACCA